ACAAAGCUCAAGUCGGUGAUAAAGAAGUGGCCUUCCUUCGCCAAGAACCACCACCACUCAUCCUCCUCGGCCGCUGUCUCCAAUGAGCUCUCAGAGGACAACAAUCUCCAUGUUGUUUAUGUUGGUCAGACUCGAAGACCUUACAUGCUUAGACCGGACAUCAUCUCUCACCCCCUCUUUCAAGAACUGGUGGAUCGGUCUUCUAGAUCUGCAGAACAAGAACGUGAGAUUGUUGUAGCUUGUGAAGUUGUGUUAUUCGAGCACUUGUUGUGGAUGCUUAAGAGUGGUCAAGAAGGAGGAUCCGUUGAAGAAUUGGCAGAGUUCUAUACUUGUUGACAUCGAUUUAUCAAAUUUUACGCAUUUAUUUCGUAUAAUACAUAUGUACUUUCUAUGGUGUUAUUGUUGCUGCUGCUGAUUUGUAUUUUUGACUCGAUCCGGUGUGUGACCAAAACGUGAUCUCGUAAACCAUAUCAUUUGCUUCUGUUUUUUUUUUCCUCGAGCAAUUUUAUGAUAAUGAUGAGCAUAUGUAGCUUCUUACUUUGUUUCCACCAACAAAGAAUUCUCUUCCUUUAACAAUCAUCUUUAUAUUUUCUUCUAAAUGUAAUAGACAGGCCUAGGUAGACAGCUAAAUGAAUCUGAUCAUUUCAUAGAAUUUUAUUUUAUGGUUGGCUUUGUUUCUAUAUUUUAUUGUGGCGGUUUUGUAACUUUUGCUUCAAUUUGUUUUUGUAACGGAAUCUUUCUCAUGAGUCAUGCGUGAGUCUCAUGACACAAUAAAAAAGGACUUCAGUGAUGCUCGAAUUUGCUUGUAACUAAUACAUAUUUUUUUGGAACAAAUAUUGAUUGAAUAUGAUGAUGACAAUACUAAUUAAUUAAAUUAUAUAUUCUUUAUUUAUCAAAAACAAUUAUUAGCAAUGAUUUAUAUCAUUGAUUUAUAAAGUUCAAAACAAUCUUACAGAACAUUUUUUUUUCACUAUGAUUAUUUAAAAUACAAUUUGUGUGCAUUUAACGUUAGUUAGUACAACUCCUUUAUUUAUAAUCCGUCAAAAUUCCACAUAUAAUCAGAGACACGGUCCUGUGUAUCAUAUGUAUGGUGUUCAUUUCAAAUCAUAUUUUCGUAUAAAACAUAAACUAAUUAAUAUGCAAUCUAGUAGUGUUAAUUGGAAAUAAUACUGGUCGCUCUCAUGACGGGUGGUGACCUGGUCCCAAGUUCAUAACCCUACUCUCCUUUCUAGUUGCAGAUAUUAUACAUUUGUCUUUAAUGUUUCUGGACUUGAUUUCAGCCAUAUAAGAGACAGUGGCGGAGGCAACUAGUUAGGAGUAGAGCUCGGCAUGAUUAUUUGGUAUUUGACUUGUACUCGUUAGUUCGUUAGUUGCCUCGUAUUCAUCUUGAAUAUUUAAAUAUUUGGUUUUGUCAAAUCAAAUAACAAGUCAUCAAGUUUUAUUACUUGGAAGUCUAAGAGAGAUGUAUUCAACUGAGAGUUUCAGGUGAUUUGUAUUAAAAUGACAAAUCCACUGCUAUUGAAACAUGAAUUUUAAAAAUUCAUUUAAAAUCCACUGUUAUUGAAUUUGACAUUUUUUAAAGUACUCUGAAAUCCACUGUUAUUGAAAAUAUUUUAAGUCGUGGAGUUUUAAAGUUUUUAGGUGAUUUUAGGGUGUUUGGAUAGAAUUUCUUAGUUAAAAAAAUUAAAACCCAAAUCUCAUAGUUUUAGGUGAUAUUCUAGAGUAGUUUAACAAAAAUCACUUAAAUCUCUGCAACUUAUUGAAAUCAUCUAAAAUCCCAUUAAAAAUCAAAUCACAUCAGAUGUUAAAUUGAAUACAUCCCCCUAAGUCAAGUAUCAAAUAUCGUUUUUAACUUUUAUACUUAAUUUGCUAUUUGUUGCAUUUCUUGUUGCUCAUCACUAAAAGUGAUUUAUUACCCUUUAGAAAACUGUUUAUAACUCAUUAAAAUUACUCUCGUUAAAAUACUUGUUUCAUAUACGUACUUUCAAUUCAAGUAUUUGCAAGUAAUCAAUUAUUAUAAACUAGGGUCGGCCCGGACUACGCCCGGGAUUUUCUCUAAUAUUUAUUUUUAAUUCUGUUUUCUAUUUGUUUCAGUAUUAUAUAUAUACAUAAUUAUAUUAAUAUUAUUAAAACAUAAAUCAUUAGACAAAUUUCCAAAAAUGUAGGUUUAAAUUUUUUGUUUUUGUCCGACAGAUUUGAACUUUUAUCACUCAGAAUUUGUAAUUUUUAAUUAUUGAAAAUUAUGUACCACAUGAUGAAAAUAUAUAAAAUAAUUAAGCGGAGUUUAAUCUGAAUAUUUUUAUCUUACUUAUUUAAGUUUGUGUAAAAUAAAUUUGUAUGUACUUUUGGAAUUUUAUUUUGGCUUUGGAACCAUUAAAAUUAUAACUUUUAAAGGUAUUAAAAUUUUAUCUAUUAAUUUUUUUUUGCUCCUCCUCAUUCUACAUCUAUAUAUAAUUAAUUAAUUUGAAUAAUGUUCAUAAUCGUAUUUGCACAAUACUGUUAUUUUUCAGAAUUGGUUGGUAGUAAAAAUAAUUAUUAACAAAAAAAUAACAAAUUUGUAUUGUGGUUAAAAUUUUAUAUUAUAGUUGUCUUUGGAUGUCACAUGCUGAUACAUGAUAUAUAACUUAACUUUUUCUCAGGUAAUCUACGAAAUAGGCUUGCAUGAUCAUUAUCAUCAAUCUAUUACAAAUGCUUCUUGUUUUUAUGUAUAUAUAUUAACAAUGCUUCUUGGUGAGACAAUACCGAGCUGCUGAAAACAAUAUCUCUCGCCUGAUGAUGGAGCUGGCAAAAAGUUAAAGAGAUCGAAAGUCUCAACGAAGUGUCACCCUUCUUCUUGAAAUAUAUGAUUAAAUUUUCCUUUAAUGCAAUCAAAUGUUGAUUUCUUCCGUCUAAUAUAUCAAAAAGUAUCAACGAAGAGAAUACCUAACAAAUAAAAGGAUACUGAAUUGAUAAGAUAAAUUUAAAACUCCUAGCUUAAUUAGAUCAAUGAUAAGACGUGGAAUCAUAACACAAUAUCUCUUAAUGUCUUGCAAAAAUGAAUUCUUGCAAACACAUACAUUGUCAUAUACUAAAAAAUUCUCUACUUAUAUCUAAAUAAACUUCAGUUUAAGGUUAAAUAUGAGUGAAGAAAGUGAAGCAAAGUCAUACCUUAGUGUUAGCAUGAACAACCUUGAUGUCUAGAUGGAACCGUGAUUUCUCGUCCUUAGGUUCUGAAGCUUAUGAUUCUUGACCCUCUGCGAGCUCGAUGUUCCGUAGAUGAAGGAAUGCAGCCACUAUACGGAAGAGUGCAUCCGGGAAAAUUAGAAUGUAAGUAGAGUUGUUCUUAUGUCUAAGCAUGUAAAUAAACAACUAAAAGGAAAGUACCUGAUCUUCAGAAUCAAAUCCCAACAUCGUCUAUAGCUUUCCUAGCAUCUAUGUAUUCCUUGGAAUCAUUAAGCCAUCCAACACAUACANNNNNNNNNNNNNNNNNNNNNNNNNNNNNNNNNNNNNNNNNNNNNNNNNNNNNNNNNNNNNNNNNNNNNNNNNNNNNNNNNNNNNNNNNNNNNNNNNNNNNNNNNNNNNNNNNNNNNNNNNNNNNNNNNNNNNNNNNNNNNNNNNNNNNNNNNNNNNNNNNNNNNNNNNNNNNNNNNNNNNNNNNNNNNNNNNNNNNNNNNNNNNNNNNNNNNNNNNNNNNNNNNNNNNNNNNNNNNNNNNNNNNNNNNNNNNNNNNNNNNNNNNNNNNNNNNNNNNNNNNNNNNNNNNNNNNNNNNUGAAAUCAACUACUAAAAGACAUAACAUGUUAGAACCUUUUGUUUCUAAACUAUGAACAUAGUCUAACACAUGAUAACCAAAUUAGUAUAUAUUCUUCAAAAUUGUUCGAUUAUAUGAAAUUUUAAUUUAUUUACUUCAUAUUAUCCAUUAUAUUGAUGAUUAGUUAAAAAUAUCACAAUAAUUAUUUUUAUACAUUUUCAAAAUUAAAUUAUUAGAUCAAAUUAGAGUGUAGACUACAAAACAAGUCUAUAAGGUAGACUUCGUAGGAAGUCUAUAUAUAUGUAGACUUCUUUUAUUACUUGUAGACUUCCAAAGGAAAGAAACGUAAAAUACAUUUCUGUUUUUUGUUUGGUCAUAAGGGUUAAAUAGUACUUUCACUACCUCUUUAAGUUAGUUUUGCAUUUGACUAAAAGUGGGGUACACUUUUAGGUUUGACUUAAAUAUUUGGGUUGAUUUUAGCAAAUGUCCCUCAAAAUGAUGUGUUGAAAUAUAUACAAGGAUGUCUAUACAACAAUUUCGUGUAUAUAUAGUUGGUUUAAGGCUUCAUUUUUAAAACAAAAACAUUUUUUGGACCUAAAUUUGAAAUUUGAUUUUGAAUACAAAAGUGUACCCUAUUAUACUACUAUCUAUGUUUCCUAACAACAUAAUAAUUAAUCUUGUAUCAAAACACCAUUUAUUAUAAAUUAAUUAUGCAAACAAUAUCACACUACUAUCUAUUUCCUGAAAACAUAAUAAUUAAUCUUGUAUCCAAACAAUAUUUAUUAUAAAUUAAUUAUGCAAAUAAUAUAAUACUACUAUCUAUGUUUCCUAACAACAUAAUAAUUAAUCUUGUAUCCAAACAAUAUAAAAAUAUUAGGUAUCAUCUUUUCAAUAACCUUUUAUCGAUUUUCUUUCAAAUUAUUUGAUAAAUCAAAGAUAAUUAUAACAUAUUUUUGUAGGAUUAGAUACUACAAGAUAAGAUUUAAUUUCAAAUCAAUUAAAUUAAAACUUAUUUUAUUUAAUUUUUGUUAAAUUACAGUUAUUUAAAUCUAAAUAUAUUUUCGUAUUAAAUUAAAUACUGUAUAUAAAUAAAAUGCAAUAAAUUGACUUCAAAUAAAUUUUAUAAUAAACAUUUAUCAAAAUAUUUUAUUCAGUUAAUCAAAUAAAUUAAAUAUAUUUUAAUAAAAUUAAUAACGAAAAGAGUUGAAAUAACUAAAAAACAAAUUAAACAAUAUCUUAUACAGUUUCAUACUUAACAAAAUAGUAUAAUUAUUUAUAUAAUUAUUCAAAUACACUAAAAUAAAAAUGUCAAAAAAAUUAUUUUGUAAAUUGUAUUUUGUUAAAAGAUAUUCUCGGGAUUUAAAAGUCAAUUAAAAAUUUUUAUAUGAUUGGAAAAAAAUAUAUAAUUUGUGUAUGCGGAUCCGACAAAACCGAAACAAAAACUCAAAAAGGAUUAUACAAACAUUUAUUUUUUGUUCCUGUUGACAAAAAACUGAUAGAUGAUGAGCUUCAAUACAGAAGUGGAUCAUUAACAAAAUCCGUUGGACUAGAUCUUUACUUAUAUUCGUAUAUAUGUUUGGGAGAAUUUCAUGUUUACUAUUUUCAUGGUAGUUUAUUCACUUUUACCACCACUGAAAGGACAUUUUAAAAAAUACAUUCUUCAUUAAGUGGCAAAAGGCUCUUAUACCCGUUGUUCUCUAUAUAUAAUAAAUAAAAAUAUAAUAAUUUUUUUAUAUUUUUUGAAUUAUACUUUUUCAAUUUCAAAUUCUUUAUAAUUUUCUUUCAAAAUAUGUUUUUUUUCAAAAUAUAUUUUUGAAAAUCGAAAAUAAUGUUUGAAACUAUUUUUAAAUUCUUUUCUAUAUUUUUUCAGUAUUUAUUUAUAGAUUUAUUAGAAUAUUAAAUUUCACAUUACAAGAAUCUUACCCAAUCCCUCAGGGGGAAAUUACAUGUUUACCACUUUCAUGGUAUCACUUUUCAUUUUUACCUCCAAUAAGACAUUUUCAAAAAUACUUUCUUCAUUAAGUGGCAAAAGACUCUUAUGCUCUUGUUAUUUAUAUAUAUAAUAAAUCUUUAUUUAAAUAAAAAAUAAAAAAAAUAAAAAAAAGUAAAAAAAUAAAAAAAUGUAAAAAAUUAAAAAUUAAAAAAAAAAACUAAAAAAAUAAUUAAAAAGAAAUAAAAAAAAGUAAAUUUUUUAUUAUGUUUUCGAAUUAUACUUUUACAAAUUCGAACUUUUUUAUAAAAAAAUUUUUGAAAAUUUUUUGAAUUAUUAUUUUUUUUUCAAAUUUCUUUUUGAAAAGCGAAAAUUAUGUUUGAAACUAUUUUUUUUAAUUUUUAUAUAUUUUUUAUGUAUUUAUAUAUUUAUUAGAAUCAUAAAUUUUACAUUCCAAAAACCCUACCCCACCCCUCAACUCUAAACCCUAAGUCUAGAUUAGUUAAUCCUAAUGGUAUAAUUGUCUUUUACACUUCAUUAAAAGUGAACGUAAAAUUGGUUAGUGUAAACAUGAAAAGUAGUACUAUGAAUGUAGUAUUUGUGGCAUUUUCCCAACUACUUUAGUCAUGAUAUCUUUUAGUUUUAAAUAUAAUUUAAAAAAAAAAAUCAAACAAAUCUGUUUAAAAGAUUUUAACAAGAUCUUAAUUUUCAAAAAUUCUAUGUAAAUAUUUUUUAUAAUUCGUAAUUAGUUUUAAAAUAUUAUUAUACAUUAAUAUAUUUUAUAAAAUGAAGAAUAAAAGUUUUAUCUUAUUUUACCUAUUAUAUAAAAUAAUCAAUCAUAUUAAGAGAAAAUUAUUAUAUUGAACUAAACAUGAUAAACUAUAUUAAAUUAUUAGAUUUGUAUAUUUUAUUUUCAGAAGUAUUUAUGUUCAGAAUAUAAUAUGUUGGUAAUCUUAUGUAUUAAAACAGAAGUCACAACUUUAAUUCAUGUGUGAUAUUUUAAAAAAUGGACUCUCACUAGAAAUCAGUUAUCAUUCAUUUCUUUCUAAUAAUAUGGCUUAAUAAUAUAUCAUUCCUAAUAUAACAAUCGACUCCUAUAAAACCGGAUUGGUUAACAAACACAUAUUUGAUUCCUUAAUAAAUUAUACAUAGUAGUAAUAUAAACCAUUGUAUAGUUCAAAAUACUGAACCGAUUUAAAUAAUUUAACCAAUAUAUAUAUAUAUAUAUAUAUAAUGAGUUGUAUUAAAAUAGAAAUUAUGACUUCUUUCAUGUGUGAUUUUUUAAUUAGAACCAUUUAAAAAAUAUUAAAUGUAUUUUAUUAAUAUUAAUAAUAUAUAUAAUCUUUGAACUACUUUAGUCAUAAUAUCUUUUGAUGUCUUUUAAUUUUAAAUAUAAUUUUUUUUUGUUAACAAAUAUAUAUAAUGUAUUUUGUCAAAUUUCAUGCACACUUGCUAUUGGCUAUUACUGUCACUUUUAUGCACUAAUUGUCUCAUCACUUAAACUGUAGAAUGGUUAUAUUCUUCAUAUUUAGACCCCUUAUGAAUAUUCAGUAAAAAAAUUUUUUUGGUAAAAUGUUAAGAUAAAUAUUCAGUAAAUUGCCCUUAUGAAUAUUCAGUAAAUUGCCCCUUAGACAAAGACGUGCUUUAAUAAAAAACACCCUUGAUCAAAUUAUUAGGCCUAGCUUGAUGUCUACAUAACAUAAGUAUAUGACAUUGGACAGUUAUCUAAUUUCUAAUCAUACGCCAGAACUAUCUUACUAUUUGAUUUAUUUUGCCAUAAAUAAGUAUAUCUUCUCGACCAUUUUUUCAAGUAUUUAAAAUUCCUCGAAUGAUUAGCUUACCAUCCACAACUUUUUUCCUUCGAUAAAGACAGACAGUAAGGUACUAAGGUCUUCUCUACCUAAUUCUUCAGAAAUACCAAACUAACGAAUUUUUAAAUAAUUUAACACACAUUUGAUAAAUACCAUAUAUUUUAAUAUAUAAUGAAAUAUGCUUUUGCACUAAAUAAGAGGAUUGUAUUUUGCCAAAAAAUCAAAUGUCAUUGGUGGUUGCAUCCGUCAUAUAUUGCUUAACUACAAUCUUUUAUUUUAUUCGUAUGAUUUUAUAAUUUGGGAUUCGUCACUGGAUUUAUGGUUUCGAAAAUGUGGAUAUAACAUAUGUUUAGUUCAUACAGAUAAAUAAAUAAAUUUAGUCGGUGGACGAAGAUUAUAUUUGCUGUUUUGGUAUAUAUGAACGACAAACAAUUAGCACUAUGGGGUAAUAUUCAACAAAAUUGUGGACAGGAUGUAAUCGUUAUCUAAAAAUUAUCACUCUUUGUCGAUCAUUAGACAACAACACGCAAUGAGAGGUUGCCUACACAUCUACACAUGUAUAUGUACACACCUACAAACUUAUUAUAUUUAUACAGUAAUAUACAACAAAUAGUAGUAAACAUGUACUAUAUGUUUAUCAAAUAUUUUCAAAUUCCGAUUUAUGACAAGUGGCAUCUAUGUAGACAAAACAAAAUGUCAUAGCUAGAAUAAUACUAUACAUAUAAUGCAAUAGUUUGUUGGGAGUUUUUUUUCCGGUUAAUAUAGAUUAAAUAUAAUAUAUUCUUCUUAAAUUAUAUUAAAUAUAUAUAUACAUAGUUAGUGUUUUAUUCGUGUGGGUAAUAUAUAUUUUUGAGUUUUAUAGAAAUUAAACUUAUAUACUAAUCCAAUAUAUAUUAUGUUAAAUAAGUAUUAUUAUCUCGUAUGGUAUAUUAUAUUAUAUCAUUCAUGUUAUCAAUCUUACUUAAUACAAUCUAUUUUAAACUAAAAGAUGUAAUAUUUUGCAUAACAAUAAAUUAAUUACUGUGCAAAAAAUAUAGUUUUACAAAAUUUAUUUAUGUAAAUUCUUAAAUCCGAUUAUAAAGAUAUAAAAGGAACAAAGGAAAAACAAUGGCAAAAGAAGAUACUACUAGUUUUGCUAUUUAUGUCCUCAUCUCUCCUAGCUGUUAUGCAUCAAUCGGUGGGUCAUGCAAUGCAUCUAUACGUUUCUCUAUCUCACUCAAUAUAUAUACACGAACCUUCCUCGUUGUUUCCUCCCAAGAACAUCUCAAAACAUUUUCUAUUCUUCAUUCAAUCUUUUGACCCACACACACUCAUAUAAUCAUAUAUAUAUCCUCAUAAACCCUAAACCCUAUCUAGUUUCAACAACUCUCUUGUUCCAAAUCCAAGAAAAAGGUUAGUUUCAUAAGUAAUGUCCAAAGUUGGGAAGCUGACAAAGCUCAAGUCGGCGAUAAAGAAAUGGCCUUCCUUCGCCAAGAACCACCACCACUCAUCUUCCUCGGCCGCUGUCUCCAAUGAGCUCUCAGAGGACAACAAUCAUCAUGUUGUUUAUGUUGGUCCGACUCGAAGACCUUACAUGCUUAGACCCGACAUCAUCUCUCACCCACUCUUCCAAGAACUCGUGGAUCGGUCGAGGUCCAUGGAACAAGAUCGUGAGAUUGUUGUAUCUUGUGAAGUUGUUUUGUUCGAGCACUUGUUGUGGAUGCUCAAGACCGGUC
rnacentral:lncRNA from 1 species